AUUGAACGCUGGCGGCAGGCCUAACACAUGCAAGUCGAGCGGAUGAAGGGAGCUUGCUCCUGGAUUCAGCGGCGGACGGGUGAGUAAUGCCUAGGAAUCUGCCUGGUAGUGGGGGAUAACGUCCGGAAACGGGCGCUAAUACCGCCUACGUCCUGAGGGAGAAAGUGGGGGAUCUUCGGACCUCACGCUCUCAGAUGAGCCUAGGUGGGAUUAGCUAGUUGGUGGGGUAAAGGCCUACCAAGGCGACGAUCCGUAACUGGUCUGAGAGGAUGAUCAGUCACACUGGAACUGAGACACGGUCCAGACGCCUACGAGAGGCAGCAGUGGGGAAUAUUGGACAAUGGGCGAAAGCCUGAUCCAGCCAUGCCGCGUGUGUGAAGAAGGUCUUCGGAGUGUAAAGCACUUUAAGUUGGGAGGAAGGGCAGUAAGUUAAUACCUUGCUGUUUUGACGGUAACAACAGAAUAAGCACCGGCUAACUACGUG
rnacentral:rRNA from 1 species